rnacentral:rRNA from 1 species
CGCGUAGGCGGCAGUGUAAGUCAGAUGUGAAAUACUCCGGCUCAACCAGAGAACAGCAUCUGAAACUGCACAGCUAGAGUACAGAAGAGGGAAACGGAAUUCCCGGUGUAGAGGUGAAAUUCGUAGAUAUUGGGAGGAACACCAGUGGCGAAGGCGGUUUCCUGGUCUGAUACUGACGCUGAGGCGCGAAAGCGUGGGGAGCAAACA